GGAAUAAAAGUCGUAACAAGGUUUCCGUAGGUUAACCUGCGGAAGGAUCAUUAUUGUAUAACCGAGGUGCGAGGGCUGUCGCUGACCCGAAAGGUCGUGCACGCCCGAGUGCCCUCACACACAUCCAUCUCACCCCUAUGUGCACCACCGCGUGGGUCCCCCUUUGGCUUGUUCGGAGGGGGGCUUACGUUUUCACACAAACUUUGUAUGCAGUGUAGAAUGUAUUUUUUGUUUUUGCGAUCACGCAAUCAAUACAACUUUCAACAACGGAUCUCUUGGCUCUC
rnacentral:misc_RNA from 1 species